CCUACGGGUGGCAGCAGUGGGGAAUAUUGGGCAAUGGUCGCAAGCCUGACCCAGCAAUGCCGCGUGAGGGAAGAAGGCUUUGGGUUUGUAAACCUCCUUUACAGGGGAAGAGCAGAAGACGGUACGCCGAAAACAAGCUACGGCUAACUACGUGCCAGCAGCCACGGUAAUACGAAGGUGGCAAGCGUUGCGCGGAUUUACUGGGUGUAAAGGGUGUGUAGCCGGGAAGGCAAGUCAGAGGUGAAAUCCCGGGGCGCAAACUCCGAACUGCAUUUGAAACUGUUUUUCUUGAGUUCUGGAGAGGCAGACGGAAUGCCUUGUGUAGCGGUGAAAUGCGUAGAUAUAAGGAAGAACACCAGUGGCGAAGGCAGUAUGCUGGCCAGACACUGACGGUGAGGCGCGAAAGCGUGGGGAGCAAACAGGAUUAGAUACCCCUGUAGUC
rnacentral:rRNA from 1 species